rnacentral:snRNA from 1 species
AUACCUUUUUCGGCUUUUUGGCUAAGAUCGAGUGUAGUACCUGUUCUUAACAGUUUAAUGUCUGAUACGUGGGCCAUUGGCUCAUACGAUAUAAAUUUAUUUUUAAAGGGGAGGAUCCAUUACAGUGGCUUGCUACUGGGGCUCUUAGGCGGCGCCCAAGCUCUGCAUCGGUU